GUUAAGCGACUAAGCGUACACGGUGGAUGCCCUGGCAGUCAGAGGCGAUGAAGGACGUGCUAAUCUGCGAUAAGCGUCGGUAAGGUGAUAUGAACCGUUAUAACCGGCGAUUUCCGAAUGGGGAAACCCAGUGUGAUUCGUCACACUAUCAUUAACUGAAUCCAUAGGUUAAUGAGGCGAACCGGGGGAACUGAAACAUCUAAGUACCCCGAGGAAAAGAAAUCAACCGAGAUUCCCCCAGUAGCGGCGAGCGAACGGGGAGCAGCCCAGAGCCUGAAUCAGUGUGUGUGUUAGUGGAAGCGUCUGGAAAGGCGCGCGAUACAGGGUGACAGCCCCGUACACAAAAAUGCACAUGCUGUGAGCUCGAUGAGUAGGGCGGGACACGUGGUAUCCUGUCUGAAUAUGGGGGGACCAUCCUCCAAGGCUAAAUACUCCUGACUGACCGAUAGUGAACCAGUACCGUGAGGGAAAGGCGAAAAGAACCCCGGCGAGGGGAGUGAAAAAGAACCUGAAACCGUGUACGUACAAGCAGUGGGAGCACGCUUAGGCGUGUGACUGCGUACCUUUUGUAUAAUGGGUCAGCGACUUAUAUUCUGUAGCAAGGUUAACCGAAUAGGGGAGCCGAAGGGAAACCGAGUCUUAACUGGGCGUUAAGUUGCAGGGUAUAGACCCGAAACCCGGUGAUCUAGCCAUGGGCAGGUUGAAGGUUGGGUAACACUAACUGGAGGACCGAACCGACUAAUGUUGAAAAAUUAGCGGAUGACUUGUGGCUGGGGGUGAAAGGCCAAUCAAACCGGGAGAUAGCUGGUUCUCCCCGAAAGCUAUUUAGGUAGCGCCUCGUGAAUUCAUCUCCGGGGGUAGAGCACUGUUUCGGCAAGGGGGUCAUCCCGACUUACCAACCCGAUGCAAACUGCGAAUACCGGAGAAUGUUAUCACGGGAGACACACGGCGGGUGCUAACGUCCGUCGUGAAGAGGGAAACAACCCAGACCGCCAGCUAAGGUCCCAAAGUCAUGGUUAAGUGGGAAACGAUGUGGGAAGGCCCAGACAGCCAGGAUGUUGGCUUAGAAGCAGCCAUCAUUUAAAGAAAGCGUAAUAGCUCACUGGUCGAGUCGGCCUGCGCGGAAGAUGUAACGGGGCUAAACCAUGCACCGAAGCUGCGGCAGCGACGCUGAUGCGUUGUUGGGUAGGGGAGCGUUCUGUAAGCCUGUGAAGGUGUGCUGUGAGGCAUGCUGGAGGUAUCAGAAGUGCGAAUGCUGACAUAAGUAACGAUAAAGCGGGUGAAAAGCCCGCUCGCCGGAAGACCAAGGGUUCCUGUCCAACGUUAAUCGGGGCAGGGUGAGUCGACCCCUAAGGCGAGGCCGAAAGGCGUAGUCGAUGGGAAACAGGUUAAUAUUCCUGUACUUGGUGUUACUGCGAAGGGGGGACGGAGAAGGCUAUGUUGGCCGGGCGACGGUUGUCCCGGUUUAAGCGUGUAGGCUGGUUUUCCAGGCAAAUCCGGAAAAUCAAGGCUGAGGCGUGAUGACGAGGCACUACGGUGCUGAAGCAACAAAUGCCCUGCUUCCAGGAAAAGCCUCUAAGCAUCAGGUAACAUCAAAUCGUACCCCAAACCGACACAGGUGGUCAGGUAGAGAAUACCAAGGCGCUUGAGAGAACUCGGGUGAAGGAACUAGGCAAAAUGGUGCCGUAACUUCGGGAGAAGG
rnacentral:rRNA from 1 species